rnacentral:piRNA from 1 species
UGUGUGACCGGCAAUAUUCAAAUCAGCGU